CACACACAGCUCUCAAUAAAUAACAAUCAUAAUCUUUCAAUAACUCUUCAUAUAAUUCAAUCAUUCAGUACUCCAAUUACAUAAUCAAUAACUCAUAAAUCAAUCUUUGGUUUAUUCCACAAACUCACUUCUUAGUAUUCAAAAACUAUCCAUUACUCUUCAAUAACAAAGAAACAAAGAGACAAAGAUGUAGAGAGAUAGCACCAAGCUU
rnacentral:lncRNA from 1 species